CUCCCCUCCUGUUCUCCCUCUCCGCUUGCCUCCGCCGCCCCGACCGCUCCCGUGGGAUCCAGAUCCGGCGCGGGGGGGGGGGGGGGGGGGGGGGGGGCAGCGGCUCCCAAUUCCUUCGCCUAGAUCUGUUCCAGACCUCCACCAAGCUGCCCCUCCAUCCGCCCUCACCCUGGCUCCUCAGCUAGGUCCUAGGCGUCGCCGCCUAGAACUCCUGCACCACCUCGAGCUUGGACGCGCUGCAGCACGGUCUGGCCGAUGCCGGUGCUUGGGCGGGCACGGCAGCCCAGCUCGGACGCAGCACGGACUGCUGCGGGCUGGAGUGGCAGGCAGACAAGGCCACGGGGGCGCGUCGCGGUGGGUCGAGGUUGGCUGCUGGCGAUAGGGCGGCGAGUGGGUCGGUCCCAGCUGGUGCCUCCUGUUUCCCGCCGCCGCCCUCUCUCUCUCUUCGCCACCUCCCUCCCCUUCUUCCUCCCGCCUGCCUCGAUCGCCCCUCCCCGCCGCCAUUGCGCGUCGAGCUCGCUGAGGUCAUUCCCAUUGAAGAAGGCGCUCGCAGCUGGCAACAGUAGGUCACCGCCGCUGCAACUCCUUUGGCUCCGUUUUGUUGUUCUCGCAGGUGUUGAUUGAUCAGUGCCAUGCGCAAGAAACAGGCGCGCUUUUGCAGAUAGCGAGUGAUUUCCCCCAAAUUCCCAGCCUGCAAUCACACCACAACGGCUUCCUCAUAGGUCGUAAUCCACAUCCCCUUCCUCUCCAUUUUAUUUUGCCAUGAGAUCUGCCCAUAUCACUUUUCAUCUGAAAUGUGCAUUGUAGGCCUAGAUCCGUGCACUGCUCCAUUCCGGGCCUAUCCCUGAAUUUGUUGCGUUGCUGCUACAGUAAUGAGAAAUAACCCCCUUAAUCUCCUUUUUCUGAUCCAUAUAUUAUGUUCUCUGGUGCCCUGAUGUUAUUAGUUAUCUUUUUUUAUUUGUGACUUGCUUGCCUUUCAUUAUCCGCUGGUUGAAGCCUCAAAAACAAUCAGGUGAUACACACAUUUGGACUAAUGAAAUGACAAUAUGAUGUGAAGGGUUUGGGCUAAUGAAAUGACAGUACUAAUGUUUUUGCAAUGAUGCAUUUAGGCAUAUGCGGCUACAAUCCAUAUGUCUGUUCUUUCAUUACUGAUCUGAGGCAUUUGGUAUGAGCAAUGAUAAUUGCCAUUCCUUUUAUGAUCUCUCUACUAUCUUCUUAAUGAUCUGAUGUAUUUGCUUGGCAUAUGCAGCUAUGGUUAUCAUUCCUUUUUUGAUCUCUCUAUCUUCUGUUACUGAUCUGAGUCAUUUGGCAUAUGCAGUGAAUAUGAUCAUUCUGACUUUGAUCUUCUAUUCUCCUAUUUAUUUAUAAACUAAGGUUGGCAUCUGCACUCUGCAGUGUUAGCAUCCAUUGUCUGCAUACUGUACUGAGUACUGACCCAUUUGAACUUAUGCAUGAGAAACAAUAUUUUAGAUAAUGAGACGAGUCAUUUGGGGCAAAAGAUCUUUGUGUGAGACUGAGAGUAAUAAACUAAUAAUAUUCUGACAACUGGCUGACUAUCUACAAUCCAGUUUGUAAUUGAACUUAAUUUUUGCUUUCCCAGUUCACACAUUGUAUGACAUAUGGAGGUCAAAAUUUCUUUUGACAAUGAAUUGAAGUUAUAGCAGGAUCUCAUGUACACCGAUUAUCCACAUAAAUGAGAAGUGAGGCACAAGCAUUAAGAAUACCUGGUAGUCAUGCGUACUCGUGAUAUUAUGAUGAAUGGAUGUUCAAACGUCUUUUUUUAUUUCUGAAAUCAUCUGCAGUUUUGGAAGGGAAUUGUAUGUCCUAAGAAUAUAUUAUGCUGCAGACGAGAUAGAUGGAGCAUAGGAAAGGAGGUGAUAUCUUUAUUGAAUCAGUAAUGCCAUUUGUAAAACUCUAUUUAAAAAGAUUCAUAUUAUCUUGUGAAACUUAUUUAAAAUGAUUCACAUUAUCUUGUACUGUCACCUCUGACUCCUAUAACAUAGUUCUCAAGUGAUUGAGUCCUUACAUUUUGACAUAACUAUUUCAAAAAUUAUUAGUUACAUCAACUUCAUGAAUUCUGAUUGAAUUUGUUUGCUGUUGUUUGUUUCAAAAGCUUUCUUAUUCCAUGGGUAGAAAUAGAAUUCGGCUAUUCCAUGAUUCAGUGGUCAAUGAUUAACUAUAGGAUUUUUCUCCUUAAGAAGCAGAUAGCAUUUAAAGACUCUGAUUUCUAACAUGCUCUUAUGUUACAGAGAAGAAGCAGUCUGAACCUUUUCUGAUCAUAGAGCAUUACUCCGAUAAAAUACAUGUAAGCUUCUGCACUCAUAUAUACACUGCUUAGAUGAAUAUUAUUUCUAUCAUUGAUAAUUGUUAAUCUGUAUGUGAUUCAGAUCACUCAUGUUUUAGGAUGUUAACAAAGUCCUUGCCUGCAAGGCUACAACCGCUUCAGUGAAAUAGGUAGCACGUCAAAUUUAGCUUUGCGUGAUCUCAGAUUCACCUGCGCUGAGAUCUACUUAGCUUGUAACUAGCUACAACAAACAGUAAUUAUUUUCAGUAUGCUUGUUGGUUUAUGAUAAUAUUUUAUUAUUACAUACAUAGAAGCAAACUAACCUUCUGAACAUGUAUAAUUAAGUGGCACUUGAAUUACUCUUCUGUUACUUUAUUCUUUGUAGUAAAUAUUGAUGCAUUAUGCCCAUUGGCAAUCAUGCAUGUUCUGAAGCCAGCAAACUCAUAAGAAUUGUGUGGCCGCACAAGUUGAGUCGAUCUCGACCUAAGUAUGCUGGAUUUACCCUGCUCACAGGAGUUGAUAUGCUAAUUAUCAGUGUAUAUACCCAACCUGAACAGUGUUGAAUUAAAUAUAGUUCUAUCUCGCAUUCCAGUUCACAAUUUCUAUUGCUACUGUCAUGAUUGGACGUGCAAAGCGAGAUUAUUUGGUAGCUAUGCAUACUUGCUGCAUGUAGAUUUAUGAUGCACGGAUGUGGUGUAGUAUUGAUGCUCCAAAUAUUGGACAAACACCUGAUGAUAGGAUAAACUAGUGCUAGGAUGUAACUAUGCUGAUGGAUGCAUUGUGAUGUUCAUUAUUGAGAUGCUGGAUAGACACCUGAUGCAUAAGAGAGCCCGGUGGUGCUCGGAUUCGGAUGUGUUGUAAUAUUCAUUAUUCGAUAGACACUUGAUGGCUAGGAUAGCUUCGUGUUCGAAUGUGCUAUAA